CCGUUCAACUCGUUCCUCCGUAUGAGGGGAACUACGGGAG
rnacentral:ncRNA from 1 species